CAAUAGCGUAUAUUAAAGUUGUUGCAGUUAAAAAGCUCGUAGUUGAAUUUCGGGUCCCCGCGCUCGGCGCUUCAUUGUGCCGUCGUGGUGUCCCUCCUCGCCGUAAGGCGUCCUUUACUGUGAAAAAAUUAGAGUGUUCAAAGCAGGCAAUCGCUUGAAUACAUUAGCAUGGAAUAAUAAGAUAGGAUCUUGUCUAUUUUGUUGGUUGCGGACAACGAUAAUGAUUAAUAGGGAUAGUUGGGGGCACCUGUAUUGCGUUGUCAGAGGUGAAAUUCUUGGAUUUACGCAAGACAAACAGCUGCGAAAGCGUCUGCCAAGGAUGUUUUCAUUA
rnacentral:rRNA from 1 species